rnacentral:piRNA from 1 species
UAAAGCUAUUUCCCACUUUACUUCUGAU